rnacentral:rRNA from 1 species
GCUUUAUUAUUUAGUUAAUUAAAUCUUUAGGAGGUAUUUAAUUUAAUUAAUAGAAUAAUUAUAUUGGGGUGAUAAGAAAAUAAAAAAACUUUUUUUUUAACAACAAUAAUUUUUGGAAGAAUGAUCUUUUAAUAAGGAUUAUAAGAUUAAGU